rnacentral:lncRNA from 1 species
ACUUAUCUUUAGAGACACAUUUAUAUCAGAAAAUUUAACUUGAUGAUUAAAAAAAUUGGUGAAAUACGUGUAGACUUUUGUAACUGGAUUAUAGUUUCAUCUAAGAACUCACUAAAAAUAUAUUGAACUUCAGGAAGAGAUUUUUAAAUGGCUUUGGUAAGCCAUUUAAAAGCCUUAUUUUCCCAAACGAAUUAGUGUUGGUGUGUGGAUGAGGAACUUUGCUGUUAUUCUGUGAGCAUUACCUGAUAAGAACUAAUCAGAUGACAGAUGGAAUCUGAAGCUUGUUCUGAUGAAUUUUUGAGGCUGGAAUGCAAUGGCGUGAUUAUAGCUCAAUGCAUCUUCAUCUCCCUGGGCUCAAGCAAUCUUCCAAGCUCAGCCUCCCAAGUAGCUGGAACUACAGAAGGACCAACUCCACUUUGAACUAGGUCCUGUUGAAAAGGCUGUUCAUAAACCUUACCAGCCAGUAGCUCCUGUCCUUUCUUGAUGGAUGCAGAAGAUGAAACAUCCUGGCUAGAAAACAAAAUGGCCAUGAUUUUGAAGAGAUGAAGUUUCAGGACAACUCUGCACUCUGAAACAUUCUGAAACAGAAAUGGAAGGUGUGUGUGCUGCAUCAGAGCAAUGAGCUAGAGCAACAUUAGAGAAUUAGCAACAUAGAGAAGUGAGGUGAGGUGUAAAGGAAGGACAGUCAUCUUUGAUCAGCUGUUCUUGGCCCAAACCUGCCAUAUCCUAACCUCUGGUUUUCAUAAAUGUGUGAAGUUUGAAGGCAUUUUGGCAAAAAUCUCAACUCCCGUAAUCACAUGAAAUGCUGUUUCUUCUCCAAGGGCAGGAAAUUCAAAGGCUACAUAUGUAGGGUUGCCCAGUGGGAAUCUGAGACUCUAGAAACUACAUCCUGCUUUUGCAUAUAUCAAGAUUAUUUUGGUGCCAAAAAGUAGGUAUUAAAUAAUAAAUUGAGUUAAUUGUAAGUAAAACAAAGUUAAUUUUGGUGUUUGGCAUGACCAUUGAACCA